GAGCAGAGGUCAGGCUCAUUUUGACACAGAGUAUCUCUCUCUCUCUCUCUGCUUGACUUCUACAAACCAUGUGGCUUUACCUAGUGGCACUGGUGGGCCUUUGGACUCUCCUGUGCUUCUUCAGGGAGAGGCAGGUGGUGAGCCAUCUCCAAGACAAGUAUGUCUUCAUCACGGGCUGUGACUCUGGCUUUGGGAACCUGCUGGCCAGACAGCUGGACAGGAGAGGCAUGAGGGUGCUGGCUGCAUGUCUGACGGAGAAGGGAGCUGAGCAGCUGAGGAACAAGACAUCUGACAGGCUGGAGACAGUGAUCCUGGAUGUCACCAAGACAGAGAGUAUUGUGGCAGCCACUCAGUGGGUGAAGGAGCGUGUUGGGAACAGAGGACUCUGGGGCCUGGUCAACAACACUGGCAUCUCCGUCCCCUCGGGUCCCAGUCAGUGGAUGGACAAACAGAACUUUGCAAGUAUACUGGAUGUGAACCUGUUGGGCAUGAUCGAGGUGACUCUGAGCAUGCUGCCCUUAGUGAGGAAAGCGAGGGGCCGUGUGGUCAACGUCUCCAGCAUUGUGGGCUGAGUGUCUUUUGGUGGUGGUGGUUACUGCAUCUCCAAGUAUGGUGUAGAGGCCUUCUCAGACUCCCUCAGGAGGGAACUCUCCUAUUUUGGGGUGAAGGUGGCUAUAACAGAGCCUGGCUUCUUCCUGACUGAUAUGACUGAGAGUGAAAGAUUAUCAUCAAACAUCCAGGUGCUGUGGGACCAGACCAGGGAGAAAUCAGGGAGAUCUAUGGCGAGAAAUACCUGGCAUCCUGUCUGAAAUGCCUAAACAAAAUGAACCAGAGGUGCAACACAAACCUGAAUUUGGUGACUGACUGCAUGGAACACGCUCUGACUGCCUGUCACCCUCGAAUCCGAUGCUCAGUAGGCUGGGAUGCCAAGUUCUUCUUCCUCCCCUUGAGCUACCUGCCCACCUUUCUUGUGGAUGCUGUUCUCUACUGGAUUUCCCUGAAGCCUGAGAAAGCCCUCUGAAGUCUUCACCUAUGUGCAUACCUGGGGAGAUGUAGGAACUGUAAGGGAGGGAAUUCUUAGAAGGAAUUAAGAGGGUCAAUGGAGGGAGUGUUUUACUCUGGGGUUCUUAGUCAACACACUUCAUCUCAUUAAUUCUCCUAUGAUACUACUUGAGACUGAUGAUGACCAAUGAAAUAGGCAAAGAAUUCUGCCAAGGGAUUCAGAUACAAAAGCACUGACUGAUGCUCAGGCUCUGAGCAUUAUGGCCUUCAAUGAAGAUCCACACAGAUGAGGAGGUUAGGACCAGCUUGUUCCAAACAGUGCCCUGUGUCCUCCUCUGCAGGAAAUGCACUUGCCCUGGCUAGUUAAGCCCUUAUGCAGCAUGGAAGUGUCCCUGCUCUGAAGUCACCUGCGACCAUGGUGUGGGGUCUGAGAGAGUCACUAAUAAUGCCAGCACCCAUGCCCUGGAGUUAGGUCAGCAGGCCCUGGGUGGGAGGUUCAGUCUCUGGUGGUGAGCAUACAGCAGAGGAUGGGGGACACCAUUUUUUUUUUUAUUUGUUUUGAAAUCAUGGCUUCUUUUUGGACUCUUUUUCUUUUUAGAGCAAAGUAUGACAUUAUUUCUGUAUCCUGUGAUUUAAUCCAUGGCUUUGGAGGUUAAUGAGGUUUGGAUCACAGGGGUAAGGGGAAAUGUCCUGAGAAGGGUUUCUACAGGACAGCAGGCUUCUUCUUGCUUUGUCUCAGCCCUUGCAGACACUGAAGUAGGAACAACAACUUUCCAUUCAAAACUUAACACCAGCAAAUAGUGCAGAAUUCUGUGCAUGCAGGUCCAUGAACGGAAUUUACUUGUAGGCCUCGGCUUCACCACUCCUUUCUCUGCAGACUCACAAAGUGAUCAUAUAUUUACUGCAGAAUCACUAAAUGACUAUUCCUUCCUGCAGACUCACUGGGUGAUCAUCAACUCCCUGUAGACUAGGCAUCCAUCCCUUUUCUGCAGACUCACUAAGUGACCAUGCCUUCCCUUUAGACUCACUGGGUGAUCAUCAAUUCCCUGUAGACUAGGCGCCCAUCCCUUUUCUGCAGACUCACUAAGUGACCAUGCCUUCCCUGCAGACUCACUAAGUGACCAUGCCUUCCCUGCAGACUCACUAAGUGACCAUGCCUUCCCUGCAGACUCCCUAAGUGACCUUCCCUUCACUGCAGACUCACUAAGAGACCAUGCUUCCCUCCAGACCCACUAAAUGACCAUUUCUUCAUAUAAGAAUCACUUACUGACCAUCACAACAAAGCCCUUCUGAUUUUCCAUCUAUCUUUGUCCCAGGCAACUUCUCAUGUCCCCUCCCUCUGUCCCACUGCCACACUCCUCCAGCACCAUGCCGAGAGUGUCCCUCUCAACUCUGUUUUUCAUUUUAUGGACAGUAUUUGCAAAAGAACAAAGGUCCUGUACUUGAGGUGCUCUGAGGCCUGGCUUUGCCUGGUGCUAGGUUGGUGAAUCUCAAGAGUAGGCUGAGCAGGGACAGCAUGUGUGGAAGAGGCAGAGAAUCCUGGGCUCAGUGCAGACUUGUGCUUUGGUGGGACUUUCAUAGAUGCCUGACUCUUCUUCUCUAAGUAGAAACAUGGAGACUGAGAAGUCACAGGAGAAACUUGUAAAGUAAACAAUAAUUUCUGCCACACCACCUCCAGUAGGAUCUAUGUGACAAGUUUCAUAGACUGAGGCGAUUGACCUCAAAAGGGAGAGACCUCCUGGAACCGGUUGUGGAACUCUUCUCAGGAGAAAAAAUAUUGAGCCAUAGUUCUCAUGGCAAUCUAUCUGUUUUGUUUUCUCUUAUUCCUUUUCUUAUUUACAUGUUCCUGGUAGCCUAGGCCAAGAUCUUAAGUGAGAAUAAUGGGUAAGAAAGCAUCCCUAGAAAUGGGGCCACUAACAUGACCUUAUCCCCAAGAAAACCAACACUUUAAUUUUUAAAUCAUUUACAAAACUAUUAAGAUAGAUAAAAACUUUCCCAACAAUAAAAUUUCAUAUGGCUACAUGUGUGUCAUCAGAGGUGGAUUUUGGUAUAUGGUAAAGAAAGCCUUAAUUAGAAAAAUCAAAAUAGUUUAAAUUUAUACAUUGAAGAUUUAUAUAAAAAAAAUCAGGCACUAGAUGUUAAAUAAUAAUUGACCAUCGGGCUGGAAAGUUAGUUCAGUGGUUAAGAGCACUGACCGUUAAAGAUUUAUUAACCUGCUCCUUGAAACAUGCCACUAGCCUUGGACGACGGCCCCGCACUGAAUACAUUCUUUUAGAAUUGUUAUAUUUUGAUGGUUUAUAAUGAUGUUACCUGUUCUGUUUUGUGAUUCACUGAAUACAUGGCUUCAGAGUUGUAAUGCUUAGAUGAUUUUUGUGCUUUACUGUGCCAAAUGAUUUUUGUUGGUAUUUGUGAUUAUUUCACUGGAUAUAGUUUCUAAGAGAUGUAAUGUUUGGCUUCUUAAGGUAUAAAAUCCCCUGCUUGAGAGCUGCAAAACACACUCAGAUUCAAACUGCCUCUGUGUUUGUUUCUGUUUGUCACAGCCGAAGCCUUACCCACUUAGCUUCAAGGACCCUCAUUCCAGGGACCCCCAUACCAGACUGGGGUGGUCUGUGGCAAAUUUCUGGUUUAAUGAAAAUGGAAAAUGCC